GGGGCUGUAGCUCAGUUGGGAGAGCGCUACAAUGGCAUUGUAGAGGUCAGGGGUUCGAAUCCCCUCAGCUCCACCA
rnacentral:tRNA from 1 species